UUCUAAACAAGUUUAUGUGAGAUAUAGUAGAAACGGCACCGUUUCCCUGGUCUCCUUUCUCUUUUCGAUUGAGUUUGUCAUGGCCCGCGGGUUCGGCCCAUAUAAACCCACCAAAUUGCCUCCGUCUUCUUUGAUUUCAAGCUUUGAGAAGUAACAUCACUGUGAUGAUGUGUGUUUAUUAAACAUUACUCCACAUGCUUCUUGUUAUUAUGGUGCUGAUUCUAAAUGCCCCCAACACCGUUCCUGCAGAGAUCACCGUUCCCCCAACACCGUUCUUGAUGUUGAAAACAAGAGAAAUUGUAAGGUUGAGAGUUCAACUCCAUCUAAGAAACCACCACCAAGGACAAGAGAGGUGAAGAGCCGAGUGUUUGAUUCAGUUCUGUCAAAAGAGAGUAGUAGACUAGACAAAGAAAAGCAAUGUGAGCCGCCCUGUUGUCGAUUUUGUUUUUAGACACUUCAACCAUGAUGGUGCUACAAACCAAGCCCUGUUGUUGAUUUUUCCUUCUUGCAAAUCACAAUGUCAAAGACCCAUACUCUGUUUUCUGGAAUAAGGUACAUGAGGAUCAUCUUAUUUGUGCUGAUGUUUAUGCAUCUUUGACAAGUACUUUGAGAGGAACUGGUUGAGGAGAGACCUAAACGUGGUGGGGUUUGGACUGAUCGGAUGGCUAUCUCCGUCGAGUAUUCCGGCGAUAAAUGGGAAGAGCUUGACGGGUCUCUUCUUCGAGAGCAUAGGAAAUGAGCUCGCUCACUUCCCAACUCCUCCAGCACUCACUUCACAGUUCUGGUUGUGGUUGGUUACCUGGCACUUAGGUCUCUUCAUCUGUCUUACCUUCGGACAAAUCGGAUUCAAGGGCAGGACAGAGGAUUACUUCGAGAGAUAAAAAUCAUUUUUCUAGUCCCAUUUGUAAUAUAUAUUUCUCAUUUCCCCCCUCUCUCUCGUGUAGUAGUAUUAUUAUUACUCAAAACUAAGAGAUUUUCUUUC